rnacentral:rRNA from 1 species
GACGAAGGAUGCAAGCGUUAUCCGGAUUCAUUGGGUUUAAAGGGAGCGUAGGUGGCCUGCUAAGUCAGUGGUGAAAAUCUCUGGGCUUAACCCAGAAAUUGCCAUUGAUACUGGUGGGCUUGAGUGCAGUUGCUGUUGGCGGAAUAUGACAUGUAGUGGUGAAAUACAUAGAGAUGUCAUAGAACACCGAUUGCGAAGGCAGCUAACAAAACUGUAACUGACACUGAGGCUCGAAA